CCUACGGGGGGCUGCAGUGGGGAAUCUUGCACAAUGGGCGAAAGCCUGAUGCAGCAACGCCGCGUGAGGGAAGAAGGUCUUCGGAUCGUAAACCUCUGUCCAGAGGGAAGAAGGAAGUGACGGUACCUUUGGAGGAAGCCCCGGCUAACUACGUGCCAGCAGCCGCGGUAAUACGUAGGGGGCGAGCGUUGUCCGGAAUUAUUGGGCGUAAAGGGCGCGUAGGCGGUGACACAAGUCAGGUGAUAAAGGCACGGGCUCAACCGGUGUUAGGCACUUGAAACUGUGUUGCUAGAGUGCAGGAGAGGGGAGUGGAAUUCCAGGUGUAGCGGUGAAAUGCGUAGAUAUCUGGAAGAACACCAGUGGCGAAGGCGGCUCUCUGGACUGUAACUGACGCUGAGGCGCGAAAGCUGGGGGAGCAAACAGGAUUAGAUACCCGUGUAGUC
rnacentral:rRNA from 1 species